GAUGAACGCUAGCGGCAGGCUUAACACAUGCAAGUCGAGGGGUAUAGGUUUUCGGACCUAGAGACCGGCGCACGGGUGCGUAACGCGUAUGCAAUCUACCUUUUGCAGAGGGAUAGCCCAGAGAAAUUUGGAUUAAUACCUCAUAGUAUAACACAAUCGCAUGAUUGAGUUAUUAAAGUCACAACGGCAAAAGAUGAGCAUGCGUCCCAUUAGCUAGAUGGUAAGGUAACGGCUUACCAUGGCUACGAUGAGUAGGGGUCCUGAGAGGGAGAUCCCCCACACUGGUACUGAGACACGGACCAGACUCCUACGGGAGGCAGCAGUGAGGAAUAUUGGUCAAUGGACGCAAGUCUGAACCAGCCAUGCCGCGUGCAGGAUGACGGUCCUAUGGAUUGUAAACUGCUUUUGUACAGGAAGAAACACUCCUUCGUGAAGGAACUUGACAGUACUGUAAGAAUAAGGAUCGGCUAACUCCGUGCCAGCAGCCGCAGUAA
rnacentral:rRNA from 1 species